rnacentral:rRNA from 1 species
UACGGGGGGGGCAAGCGUUGUUCGGAAUUACUGGGCGUAAAGGGCUCGUAGGCGGCCAACUAAGUCAGACGUGAAAUCCCUCAGCUUAACUGGGGAACUGCGUCUGAUACUGGAUGGCUUGGAUUCGGGAGAGGAAUGCGGAAUUCCAGGUGUAGCGGUGAAAUGCGUAGAUAUCGUAAGGGAGACCAGUGGCGAAGGCGGGUCUCUGGACAGUUCCUGACGCUGAGGCACGAAGGUCAGGGGAGCAAACGG